rnacentral:rRNA from 1 species
CAAAAGAGGAAGGCGGGGGACCGGAUGGGUGACCAUUGGGCCUCGCGCUAGAGGGGCGGCCGAUGUCGGAUUAUGCUAGUUGGUGGGGUAAGGGCCUACCAAGGCGGUGAUCCGUAGCGGGUCUGAGAGGAUGAUCCGCCACACUGGGACUGAGACACGGCCCAGACUCCUACGGGAGGCAGCAGUGGGGAAUUUUGGACAAUGGGGGCAACCCUGAUCCAGCAAUGCCGCGUGUGUGAAGAAGGCCUUCG